GAAACUAGGAUAAAAAUAAUAUUUGUUGAUAUAUGAGUAUUCUUUUAAAUUUUUUGAUCAAUAGGUUGUAUUUUUUGAUCAUUAGAUUAGGGUUUGUGAUUUAGAAAUUAUGAUAACAAGAAUAUUUUUGGAUAGAUGAGUAUUCUUUAAGAAUUUUUCAUGAAUAUGUUGUAUUUAUAAAUAAUUUUCUUAAAAACUGCUAUUUUUGGAAAGUUUUCAUUUUCUUGAGUAAUAUUGUAGAUUAGGGUUUGUGAUUUAGAAAUUAGGAUAUGUAGCAUAUUUUUCGAUAGAUAAGUAUUGUUUCUAAGUUUUUCAUCAAUGGUUUGUAUUUUUAAAUAAUUUUCUUAAAAACUGCUAUUUUUGGAAAGUUUUCAUUUUCUUGAGAAAUAUUCUAGUCUUUCUAGAUUAGGGUUUGUGAUUUAGAAAUCAGGAUAACAAUAAUAUUUUUGGAUAGAUGAGUAUUCUUUAAAAACUGCUAUUUUUGGAAAGUUUCAUUUUUUAAAAACUGCUAUUUUUGGAAAGUUUCAUUUUUUAAAAACUGCUAUUUUUGGAAAGUUUCAUUUUUUGAGAAAUAUUGUAGAUUUGGGUUUUGGUAUUUAUAAAUUAAGAUAACAAGAAUAUUUUUGGAUAGAUUAGUAUUCGUUAUGAGUUUUUCAUAAAUGGGUUGUAUUUUUAAAUAAUUUUCUUAAAAACUGUUAUUUUCGGAAAGUUUUUAUUUUUCGAGAAAUACUAUAGAUUAGGGUUUUUGAUUUAGAAAUUAGGAUAACAAGAAUAUUUUUGGAUAGAUGAGUAUUC
rnacentral:lncRNA from 1 species